UACGUAGGUGGCAAGCGUUGUCCGGAUUUACUGGGCGUAAAGAGCGCGCAGGCGGUCGUUCAAGUCGCGUGUGAAAGCCCCCGGCUCAACUGGGGAGGGUCACGCGAUACUGAUCGACUCGAAGGCAGGAGAGGGUAGUGGAAUUCCCGGUGUAGUGGUGAAAUGCGUAGAUAUCAAGAGGAACACCUGAGGCGAAGGCGGGUUGCUAGGCUGACACUGACGCUGAGUGCGCGAAAGCCAGGGGAGCAAACGGG
rnacentral:rRNA from 1 species